GGACUCCCAAUUGCCGAUGCCCAUAAUCACUCCGGCGAGCCACCCAAGACCGGUCUCGAUCCCGCCGUCAUUGCUUCACUUCCCAUGUUUGUCUACAAGCAAACUGGCAAUGAUGAAAAUGAUGAUUCCUCAUCAAAAGAAUGUGCUGUCUGUUUAAGCGUUCUUGAAGAUCAAGAAAUGGCAAGGCUUUUACCUAAUUGCAACCAUACUUUCCAUGCAGAGUGUAUAGAUAAAUGGUUAAGUUCACACCCAACUUGCCCCAUCUGCCGCACGGAGGCUGAGCCAAAGAUUCAGCCGGUGACCCGUGAGGGUCCAGCUGGUGUUGCAGCGACAGCACCGCCGUUGGAGAGGGUGAAUUCUACAUUAACUGUGUGCGUAGAGGGGACGUCCGAUGGUGUAAAUCAAUCUUCUAGCAAUAAGGCUGCUGGUGGUUCCAUUUCUCGGUUGAGCUCUUUUAGAAGGAUACUUAGCAGGGAAAGAUCAUCAAGAAGGCUUCAAUCUGAGGUUCAAGAAGGUUUUCAAGAUCUAGAGAGGCAAUAAUUUUUGGUCAAAUGGCAUUUAUUUGCACUAUUUAUUUUAUUAUUUUUUCAGUUUAUUAUAGAAUUUUAUUUUUUCUAUUAGAUUUUAGUUGUAUACUUCUCCUAUGUAUUGCCUCAUUCAUUGAAGCUAGCAUGGAUGUUGUGAGGUCUAGCUUAGUUUGGUACGCGUAAAGAUAUAUCACUCAUUUAAUAGAUUCAAGUUUGAACACUCGGUAUUCCGAUAUUUAUUAAAAAAAAUAAAUAUUGCAAGAGAGUUGUGAAUUUUUAGAUUAUUGUCAUUAUAAAAGUU
rnacentral:misc_RNA from 1 species